rnacentral:lncRNA from 1 species
GAUUUGGAUGCCCUUGAUGAUAUCAUAUCCUAUAUUCCUAUUUACGUGCAGUGGUAUUUAUGUGCGGUUGUGAUUUUGGCGCAAGAUUUCAUGGUUCGUAUAUAUAUAUAUAGAAAAUUUAAAGGAGAUUCUAUUGUCCCUUCCCCAAUCCAUAUUCAAGAUAGGAUCUAAAACAGGGUCACUUUAGAGGCAUUUGCUGUCUAAAAAUUA